ACACAUAUACAAAUAAAGUAAAGGGGAACCAACCUUGGGACCUUGGUGAGCGCACCCCUGACGCGUGUUUCGCUCAGCUUCUUCAGAAGGGGCGUGUCUAUUCAGCCAACAUACUCCACUUUUAAAUCCAGCCGCAGCUGAGAGAUUGCACUAAACACCUAUCACAGUAUACAUAACUU